CCUGAAUCAGCCAUGCCGCGUGCAGGAUGACGGUCCUAUGGGAUUGUAAACUGCUUUUAUACGAGAAGAAACACUCCUACGUGUAGGAGCUUGACGGUAUCGUAAGAAUAAGGAUCGGCUAACUCCGUGCCAGCAGCCGCGGUAAUACGGAGGAUCCAAGCGUUAUCCGGAAUCAUUGGGUUUAAAGGGUCCGUAGGCGGUUUAAUAAGUCAGUGGUGAAAGCCCAUCGCUCAACGGUGGAACGGCCAUUGAUACUGUUAAACUUGAAUUAUUAGGAAGUAACUAGAAUAUGUAGUGUAGCGGUGAAAUGCUUAGAGAUUACAUGGAAUACCAAUUGCGAAGGCAGGUUACUACUAAUGGAUUGACGCUGAUGGACGAAAGCGUGGGUAGCGAACAGGAUUAGAUACCCUGGUAGUCCACGCCGUAAACGAUGGAUACUAGCUGUUGGAAGCAAUUUCAGUGGCUAAGCGAAAGUGAUAAGUAUCCCACCUGGGGAGUACGUUCGCAAGAAUGAAACUC
rnacentral:rRNA from 1 species